rnacentral:rRNA from 1 species
UACGUAGGGUGCAAGCGUUAAUCGGAAUUACUGGGCGUAAAGCGUGCGCAGGCGGGUUUGUAAGUCUGUCGUGAAAUCCCCGGGCUCAACCUGGGAAUUGCGAUGGAGACUGCAAGGCUAGAAUCUGGCAGAGGGGGGUAGAAUUCCACGUGUAGCAGUGAAAUGCGUAGAUAUGUGGAGGAAUACCGAUGGCGAAGGCAGCCCCCUGGGAUAACACUGACGCUCAUGCACGAAAGCGUGGGGAGCAAACAGG